rnacentral:rRNA from 1 species
AGUGAACGCUGGCGGUAGGCCUAACACAUGCAAGUCGAACGGCAGCACAGUAAGCGCUUGCUCUUACGGGUGGCGAGUGGCGGACGGGUGAGGAAUACAUCGGAAUCUACUUUUUCGUGGGGGAUAACGUAGGGAAACUUACGCUAAUACCGCAUAAGACCUACGGGUGAAAGCAGGGGAUCUUCGGACCUUGCGCGAUUGAAUGAGCCGAUGUCGGAUUAGUUAGUUGGCGGGGUAAAGGCCCACCAAGGCGACGAUCCGUAGCUGGUCUGAGAGGAUGAUCAGCCACACUGGAACUGAGACACGGUCCAGACUCCUACGGGAGGCAGCAGUGGGGAAUAUUGGACAAUGGGCGCAAGCCUGAUCCAGCCAUACCGCGUGGGUGAAGAAGGCCUUCGGGUUGUAAAGCCCUUUUGUUGGGAAAGAAAAGCAGCAGGUUAAUACCCCGCUGUUCUGACGGUACCCAAAGAAUAAGCACCGGCUAACUUCGUG